AUCCAGCUGGCGGACGAGUCCCGAAUUGGACGAAAUGCGCAUCCUGGAU
rnacentral:hammerhead_ribozyme from 1 species